UGCUCAACUACGCCGAGCUCCAUCCGUUGGGACACGGGACGACGACGAACAACCUGGAUGGAGGCGGGGGACCCAACGGUCCGCCGAACACAAGGACCAGGAGCCGCUCAGCGGCCCCUUGGGGUGAAGCCGUGUCUGACACGGCCGGGCAACCUCUCCAGCCCGAACCCGACAGCUGACCUCGUAGGCGUGCAUAAGAGAGGAUCU
rnacentral:sRNA from 2 species